CAUGGGGGCCGUGUGGGGCAUCUUCGGAUGCGCCGGUCCGAGUCCGGUACGCCACCUGCACAGCCCGCCCU
rnacentral:antisense_RNA from 1 species